CACGGGGGGAGCAAGCGUUGUUCGGAUUCAUUGGGCGUAAAGGGCUCGUAGGUGGCUUUGUAAGUCGGGGGUGAAAUCCUGGAGCUCAACUCCAGAACUGCCUUCGAUACUGGCGAUCUUGAGUCCGGAAGAGGUGAGUGGAACUCCUAGUGUAGAGGUGGAAUUCGUAGAUAUUAGGAAGAACACCAGUGGCGAAGGCGGCUCACUGGUCCGGUACUGACGCUGAGGAGCGAAAGCGUGGGGAGCGAACGAGG
rnacentral:rRNA from 1 species